GCAGCAAGCUUUCGUCACCUUCAGAGCUCUAGCAUAAUGAUCAAGGAGCACUAGUGUCAGCCUUGCUGUAUGCACCAAGCUCCACCCUGGGCAGUGCCUUUCCCUAAUGUCUGUCCUGGUGUGAAAUGGAGACUUGAAGACCGGUACCCACAUGUAAGAGAGGUUAACGAAGGGAGGGUGGCAGAGAGAGGAGUCAUGUGAAGGAAAGCUACCUUUAGUCCUCCAUCGCAAUACUGUCCAGUGUCUCCAGUGUGCUAGAAACUGUGCUGAAUGCUGGGCACAUGGCAGGGGUCAAAGCAGACAGAAAUCCCUGCCUCAUGAACCCACUUUCUAUUAGGGGAGACAGACUAGAAACACAAAAAGGACAUUGAAUAGUACGAUUGAGAGAUGAGUGCUAUGGAGAAAAAUCCAGCCAGAAAGGGAGAUGCAGAAGAUAGCACCAGAUCUUCUCAAUGUUGUUUUCAUCAUGGACAGGUGCGUUCCUUAGAAGAUGAAGUGUUAGUGAUUCCUGAGUUUUUCUCACCUUCACGUCGAUUGAUCUGAAUUUGGAGAGUCUGUUUUCUGUGUCUGGCUCUGCACUCAACUUUGCAGGGAACCCUGUCGAGGUCCCCACACUGUGGCUUCAGGUAGACAGAGCAGACGGGAGCCCAUUUUAGUUCAUUGUCUUGCUGACCAAUGGGGAACUGUGGUCAGGUGAGAGGAGGCAGCUUUUACAAUCAGACUUCAUUGAAUAGUGUGGGCUGCUGUUUCCUUGUAACAAAACCCCAUAAUGAUGGCAGUUUCCGGAUGUGUCUUUUUAGGACUUCAGAACUUAUUAUUUGAAUAGAAGUUUAAAGCAUCUGGAUGAUGAUGCUGUAGCUAAAACAGCUGCUUGUCAGAAGAGACCCUAUUUAACACUUCUAAACUUGUUUCAGAGGUGGAGGAAAGGAUAAUCUGGGAAGGCCUCCCUCUCAAGUCCACAGGUUGGUAUCAGCUGUGUUCAUCCCCCAAAAGGAAAAUAAAAUGACAACAAUAUUUUGGUCACAGAAUUCCUGAGAAACCUCUGUUUCUACCUUUAUGUCUUUAAGAUAGGGACAUGAAUUCCCCAUGAUCUGGGUGAUAGGGUUAGGGUGGCCAGGACACUGUUACUUUGUGUGUGACACAGGUGGCUCCUCAUGACAGUUCCUCCAUGCCUUAGAACAUGUCUGGUCAUCCCUGGGGGUAGGGCUGAGUGACCCAGCAGUGGGAGAUUUAACAACUGGAGAAGAUGGGAUGUGUUUAAUCAUCCCCAGAGGUAGGGCCAAUUUGUCACCCUUUAAAUAGACUUAUUUGCAUAUAAACUAAAGCACCUUAGGGCAUCAUUACCGAAAGUGUCUAAGCAAAUGUCUGAUACAGUUACGUGCCUGCAUUAAAAGAAAGCAGCCCCCUUAUCUUGCCUUAAUAUCCUUACAGUGUUUUAAUAAGUUCAUAAUGCAUCCUGUAUGUGCAUUUUUUGGCAUAAAACACCGAAAGGUGGAGAAUUGACUUCAGUUCUCUCCAUCCUUUCCCCUUAAGUGUUCGUGGCGCUGCAGGGGCAAUGUGCCUCCCAUUGGAAGUGGUGACUUCCUCUUUGAUAGAGGUUUGCCUGUCUCUUGAAAAUGAAAAGAAGCGGAGAUUGAUCUCUGGAGUCCCAUGGUCCAGUUUGGACUAUUGGGAAUAUUUUUUAUGGGAUGUUAAAAACAAUAUUAGAGACGUGAGAUAGUAAAUUUGUGGUAAUACCGGAUCCAGGAAGCUUACAGUGAAGAGUAUGAACUUAACCUGAAAAGUAUUUCUCUGUUCUAUAAAUCUCUCAGUGACAUUUGGAUUAAUCAAGCAUAAUUAAAUGUAGUUAGAUUUUUGUCAGAUUGUAGUUCAAAAUAAUAUUCAUCUAUGGAGAGGGUAAUAUAUUAUGUAGAAAUUUUAUUAAGCACUUUAGUUAAGCAAACACUAAGGAGAACAAAAUCAACCUCAGGAAGGUUAAUUACUAAAAAAAUCACAAAGUAUAGUAGAUUAUGUAAAUCAUUUUAAUUUUGAAUACCGUGGCUUGAGCUUUAAUUUACAUAGAGAUGUAUUUUGGAUUUGUUUUUCACAUUAUAUUUUCUAGUACAGGAUUGCAAUUGCAUUCUUGAAAAGUUCUACUCAUUUUAGGAUUCCAUUAAGUUUGCUUAACUUUUUUCAUGUUAUAAUUUCCAAAAGCAAAGAAUUACAAUUGUAUUCUAGCUAAUUAUUUUAAUGUUUCACUAACUUUGUGUAUAUUGUAAGACCAUAUUUUUAUUUCUAUACAAAUGAUGAUUUUAAGAGAAGUAUCAGGAGAGAGAAUGUAUAUGAAAGCAUCGCGUCCACGCCUGGCUUUGCAAUAAGUGUUCAUUUAAAAGAAAGACAUUUACAAAGGUAAAACAUAAGAGUUUAGACUAUAGCGAUAAAUCUUUUUAUUUUAGUAAUUUCUUUAAAGGGAAAAGUAAAGAGAUCAAAAUGAUUUUAUAUGUAUUUUUUUUGUACUCAGAGAAUUACAUUUUCACUACCCCCGCCUGUCUCAGGGAAUAGCCUUUGAUAAGAAUCCCAUGGAAAUCUCUGGAACUCUAUUACAGUGUGUUCAGAUUUGUUAGUUCAUAUGUAAAUUUCAGAGCUAGAGCUUCAAAACUAGAGUAUUGUAAUCUCAGGAACAUAAGAUUAUCCAAGAAGCCUGAACCUUGCUCUUUUCAUGAUAAAUGACAUCCAAAUUUCCUUUGUCUAGGAGAUAAGCAUAGAUCCCUUUUAUCAUGCUUCUCUGAGAUUUUCACAGAAAAACCCUGCAAUUUGAUUUUGUUUGAUAAUUUUGCUUUUUGGCUUUUCAGUGAGGACUCUAUUUUCCAUUGGAACUGACUCCUUUGGGGAUAAUAAGCUUUCACUUAAAAGAACAUUCCAUUAGAUAGUUCUAACUUCAAUGAACCUAAAAGUGGCUUCUUAAUUUGAAUAAUCUGGAUAACUUUUGCAAAUGGGUCAAAACAGCACAAGUAUCAACAAUCACGUAUGUACUGAGUAAUAUUUGCCCUCCAGUUAGCAAAGUCAAGAAAUGUCUAACUCUGGCACACAGCACUGGUUUUAACUACUCUUUAGUUCAUCUUUGCCUUCCAAAUUGGUUGAAAAUGGCAAGCUUAGAAUGGAAUGCAUAUUAAUAACAGAACCACUUAAUGUUUUAAAAUAUUCAUACCUUGAGAUUCUUUUUGAGAGAAAAAAGAAAUCUUAACAUCCAAUUCUAGUUGUUUUGGCUUUUCACAUAUGCUAGACAUGAAAAAGGCAGUUACAAAAGUGAAAUCCGAUUGGAAGUCAGUGGUGUCCGCCAUUGAGCCGUGCUAAAUGUUGUGUCACAAAAGGAGUUUGUGAAAACAGGAUGAGUAGAAAAUGUUAUACUGUUGUUUCUAUCGUGGCACCGCUUUCUUAUAAAUUCCAUUUGCUUUUUGUCAUCUGAACUGUUACAACCAUGGGAAACCUCAGUCCAUAUUUUUAAAAGCACUAUAUACUUACAGGAAAAACCGACUUAUGCCUUCAUUGAAAAAAUGUUGAAGUUAAUAUCCCAAAUGUUUAAUGAGCAUGUUUUAGAAUAUUUACAGCUAAAGUCUGUCACUUUAGGGAUUUGACAAAACUUGAGACUGCCUGCCACUGAAGAGGGACCAGGCAGAAUCUUCUCAGCCUUGUAACCAGCGUUAAAAAAAUAUAAGGGGCUUGAUGAGAUCCUAGAUCUGCUCCUUUUCUCCUAGGUGCCUGGGUAACUCCUGGGGAAAGCAUCAUAUUAAGUCCUUUGGUAUCAUGCUUUUCAAGCAAGGUGUGUGAUUUUGACCAAUGAAUUGAGCUGAUAUGUGAUUUUGACCAAUGAAUUAUGCAUCUAUUUAAAAAUUACCAAGUGUAUCUUGACUCUUGAGUGGACAGUCAAGGCAAAGUUUACUUAGGAAAUGUAAAGUAUGGAGUGUUUUAAAAAAUUCAAAUUGAGUUUAUUCACUGUUGGAGGAAUUGAAUUCUAUUGCCUCCCUCAUUUCCAUUAUGUUCAUUGUUACAAUUGUGCUGCUCUGUUCUCAUUGUGAUGCUUAGUUCUCGUGUAGAACUGAGUGCUACACUCUGAUUAGAAACUGGAGUUGUGCUUGAGUCAGUCCUGGAAAACAGGACCCAUUUUUAAGAAGAACAGAACAUACCACUUUGGCAUUCUGGCUGACCCUAAUUUCUGCAGAGUUCCUUGGUGUUAAAAUCAUUUGAGGUCAUAAUUGCUGCUUAUGGUUUAUAUACACACCAUCUGCUGCUCUAAGUUCACAUCCUCUCAAAAGUAUGCAAGUGCUUGAAAUUUAAAUAUUUCCCAGAUCUAAAACAACUUGUGACUACCUAAGAAAUGCUUGAACCAAAUAAGAAACAGCACUGUGGAAUAAAAUAUACCAUUGUGAACAUAUCUGAUGCUGCAAUGAAAUGUAAAGUUCCUUACUUUGCUGAUUUUUCAUCAUAACUCCUUGACUCAUAAAAGCGGUGUCUAAACUGGGAACAGCUGCUAAUAGGGUAAAAGUGUUAUACAUGAAAUAAAAGUUCAUUACAAUAUUUGUACUCAUAAGUCAAAAUCUGACCUGGUUCGCUUUGUGCCUCUGUCAGCCUACUUACAGUGAUAAAUGUACACAGAAGUCCAGUGUUCCCAAGGAGCUUUGUUUAUAGAAAGAAGCUUGGUCCCCUCAGUUCUACUGUUGUGUGGCCUGGUUGGUACAUGCCGUCAUGAUGAAGGAUGACUUUGGUUUGAGAUAAUUUGUCACUCCACAUUCCAUGGAGAAAAGUGUUUCAUUUUGAUGUUGGAAAAACAUGACCAGAGAAGCGUGUGACUCAGAUAAUGUUCCCCGGAAGUUGCAGAGCAAUCUGUGGUGUCUGUCAUAGCCCAACUAGUCCUGGAGCACAUGGACAAUUCUGUACCCCAAUAAUCAGAACAAUAAAAUGAUAGUUGUGAUUCA
rnacentral:sRNA from 1 species